rnacentral:rRNA from 1 species
CGAGCGCACCCUUCGGGGCGAGCGGCGGACGGGUUAGUAACGCGUGGGCAACAUACCCUUUUCUAUGGAAUAGCCUUUGGAAACGAAGAGUAAUACCAUAUACGCCCUUCGGGGGAAAGAUUUAUCGGAGAAGGAUUGGCCCGCGUAAGAUUAGAUAGUUGGUGGGGUAAUGGCCUACCAAGUCUACGAUCUUUAGCUGGUUUUAGAGGAUGAUCAGCAACACUGGGACUGAGACACGGCCCAGACUCCUACGGGAGGCAGCAGUGGGGAAUCUUAGACAAUGGGCGCAAGCCUGAUCUAGCCAUGCCGCGUGUGUGAUGAAGGCCUUAGGGUCGUAAAGCACUUUCGCCAGAGAUGAUAAUGACAGUAUCUGGUAAAGAAACCCCGGCUAACUCCGUGCCAGCAGCCGCGGUAAUACGGAGGGGGUUAGCGUUGUUCGGAAUUACUGGGCGUAAAGCGUACGUAGGCGGAUCAGAAAGUAGGGGGUGAAAUCCCGAGGCUCAACCUCGGAACUGCCUCCUAAACUCCUGGUCUUGAGUUCGAGAGAGGUGAGUGGAAUUCCAAGUGUAGAGGUGAAAUUCGUAGAUAUUUGGAGGAACACCAGUGGCGAAGGCG